GCUUGUUUUGGCAGUGCAUAGGCUAAAAUUGGAACAAUACAGAGAAAAUUAGCAUGGAACCUGUACAAGGAUGACACACAAAUUGUAAAGCAUUCUAUAUUUUU
ensembl:snRNA U6 U6 spliceosomal RNA